GUGUCAGCCGCCGCGGUAAUACGUAGGUGACAAGCGUUAUCCGGAAUUACUGGGCGUAAAGCGCACGCAGGCGGCGCACUAAGUCUGACGUGAAAUCUCUCGGCUUAACCGGGAGGGGUCGUUGGAGACUGGUGUGCUUGAGGCGAUGAGAGGGGUGUAGAAUUCCCGGUGUAGUGGUGGAAUGCGUAGAUAUCGGGAGGAAUACCUGUGGCGAAAGCGACACCCUGGCAUUAGCCUGACGCUCAUGUGCGAAAGCGUGGGGAGCGAACGGGAUUAGAAACCCUCGUAGUCC
rnacentral:rRNA from 1 species